UCAGGAACCAAAAAGGACGAAAAGGAUGUGUCCAAGGACACUAAAUGAUUUUUGGCAUAUUGAUUUCUGAAACAUGUUCCUUUUCUUUUCCUUUUUUUUCUUUUUUCUUUUUUGUUUUGAGCGUUUACUGCAACAGAUUGUUAGAAGGAAAUUAGCUGUCAGUUCAACACUUCAGAACUUUAAGCUAUUGUUGUAAGCAUAAGAAAACUGCUAACUUUGCUAGCAGUACUAGAGGAAGUUUUAAGGCAGCCUUCUGAUGCGUUUGCACUUCACGAAUAUUUUUAUGUAUCCUUGUAAUCCUAAUGAACACCUGAGAUUGGUCAAAUUUGAUAUGUGCAUCAAACGUCCUUUUUACCUUGAUAUUCUAAAGCAUCUAUACAAUGUUUAUUAUCUUUUUCAUGCCUUCUCUUUCUCCUUGUUCUGUUUUCUGCCAGUUUCAGUUUUCAACUAUCAUCUCUCUGUGUCUCUGUAUAUACAUUCAGACGCAAAUGUUGACAUAUCUUCAUGCAUGCCUCAUUUGAUAUAUAGCUUCAGCUACUCGCUCUGAUUUAAUCUCAGUGUCGUGAUGAAAUUUUCGUCAUAGCUGGUUGUUUAGAGAUAGCAUCUUAUUUGCCAGAAUAGGUAUGCAACCCCUUCUUCAGGUUUUUUCUCCUCUUUAUUUCUCCCCAAUUUUAGAAUUUGUUUGCUUUUGUUGUUCUAUUUUAGUUUGUAAAGAAUGAAUUUUCUCAUUGUUUACCAGGUACCACAGAUUUGCUCUCGAGCUGGGUAAGAUAAUGUUCGACUUGCCAUCGCAAGGAAAAAAAAUUCAAGCAUCCAUUAUCGAACUUGUCCUCUCUGGUGUUUUUAUUUGCAAAUGACUUCAAGCAGUAAAAAGAUCUCUUGGGAGUGCUCGUUUUUUUUGACGUAAGGUGAGGAGAGUAAUUUGGACUUCUUGCAGAAAGCCGUUGAAGCUUUCGAAGUGUGCUUUUGGGGACAACAUAGAACUUUUGGCCCAGCAUGAGCACUGUGUCUGGGGUGAUGAUUGCUGAGGGCUCGUGAAAAACAUUUGGGAAUGUGACGCAACACAUGGGGUUUCGUUGCAUGAUCUCCGCUGCUCGGAUGGGCCUAUCAUGUAUUUCAACUCGGCCACCAGGAUAAAUGAUCUUGACUACCACGUCCCUUCUGCUGUUAGGGCAUAGACAACUUGCUAUGGCCAUUCAAUCCAGAAAGAUGAGGUUAAGAAGGCUGGCUUUGAAUUUAUAAUUUGGCUUUUACAUAAGAUUCGAAUUGCAAAUGAACAAAUGAAUCGUGACCUCUUAUUGUGUAGCUAAAACUAGAGGCGGAAGAAAGUAUGCUCAGUGUUUGUUUAUUUUCUUUCAAGAUAAGGACGGUUGUGUGUCCAAGGAGGAUAAAUAAGUGGUAAAAUUGAUAAUGACUAGGUUUGCUGCUCUAUGAUUAUUCCUGCUCAAAAAAUGUAUUUUGUAUGAUGCUACUAUUGGCAACUGAGGGAGAGGGAGAGUGUAUACACAGUGUAAUCCAGGAUAAUUUUGGUGAAGCAAAUCUGGGAUGUUAGCCUACGAACGGGUAGUGCUCUCCGUCCUCGUUCUGGGUUUUAUAUAGAGAUAGGUGAGAUCAAGGUAGAGGAGGUGGGGGUCUCAAUGGAGGAUGAAGAUGAUGAAGAUUUCGUUGGAGAUAGGAGAGGUGAGGAGGGGUUUUUUUCGCUAAUGGGUGAUGGAGAUUGUUCAGGCUGAGGGCUUGAGAAUUCGUGUUUAGAUCAUGGUGGAUUUGGUGGUUUUUUGAGGGAAAACUCUAAUUCUAGGGGAUCUUGUGACAUUUUAUAAAAUUAAGGGAGUUUUAUGAGAUUUACCCUUGCAUAUAUGUGAACUAAGCCGACGACGUACGCUCUAAUCAUCGACGCUCUGAUGUUUAUGUCGUGUGACUUGCUAUCGUAAAGAAGUUGGAACUUGCGAAAUUGAGUUAUUCCCCGUUGAAAAUUGAUGUUCACGUUUAUGUUGACUUAGGUUUUGGCUUGAUUUCCUCACUUAGAUAGAUGGGAGUUGCCGAUUUCAUUUUUUUUCUUAGAAAUAUUUUUUAUAUUUUGUAUUGAGAUACUAAUUUUUGUUUCUUUAGAUAAUU